rnacentral:rRNA from 1 species
AACGAACGCUGGCGGCAGGCUUAAUACAUGCAAGUCGAGCGGGCACUUCGGUGUCAGCGGCGCACGGGUGCGUAACGCGUGGGAACAUGCCUUUAGGUACGGAACAACCAAGGGAAACUUUGGCUAAUACCGUAUAAUAUCUCUGGAUCAAAGAUUUAUCGCCUAAAGAUUGGCCCGCGUUAGAUUAGGUAGUUGGUGGGGUAAUGGCCUACCAAGCCGACGAUCUAUAGGGGGUCUGAGAGGAUGAUCCCCCACACUGGAACUGAGACACGGUCCAGACUCCUACGGGAGGCAGCAGUAAGGAAUAUUGGACAAUGGGCGAAAGCCUGAUCCAGCCAUGCCGCGUGAGUGAUGAAGGCCUUAGGGUUGUAAAGCUCUUUUAGAUGGGAAGAUAAUGACUGUACCAUCAGAAUAAGCCCCGGCUAAAUUCGU